rnacentral:tRNA from 3 species
GGCGGUGUAGCUCAGGUGGUCAGAGCACACGGUUCAUACCCGUGGCGUCACUGGUUCGAAUCCAGUCACCGCUACCA